GCAAGGGUUCGUUUACGGAAAGCCGCCAUUUCACGGCGGUCGAUGAAAAAAUCGUAGAUGGCCCGGGGCUCGGCAUCCUUGACCAUGGUG
rnacentral:tRNA from 1 species